CGCGCAGGCGGUCGUUCAAGUCGCGUGUGAAAGCCCCCGGCUCAACUGGGGAGGGUCACGCGAUACUGAUCGACUCGAAGGCAGGAGAGGGUAGUGGAAUUCCCGGUGUAGUGGUGAAAUGCGUAGAUAUCGGGAGGAACACCAGUGGCGAAGGCGACUACCUGGCCUGUUCUUGACGCUGAGGCGCGAAAGCUAGGGGAGCAAACG
rnacentral:rRNA from 1 species